UACGUAGGGUGCAAGCGUUAAUCGGAAUUACUGGGCGUAAAGCGUGCGCAGGCGGUUAUGUAAGACAGUUGUGAAAUCCCCGGGCUCAACCUGGGAACUGCAUCUGUGACUGCAUAGCUAGAGUACGGUAGAGGGGAUGGAAUUCCGCGUGUAGCAGUGAAUGCGUAGAUAUGCGGAGGAACACCGAUGGCGAAGGCAAUCCCUGGACCUGUACUGACGCUCAUGCACGAAAGCGUGGGAGCAAACAGG
rnacentral:rRNA from 1 species